rnacentral:snRNA from 1 species
UUGAUGUUGCGAUUAGUGUGGGC